rnacentral:rRNA from 1 species
GACGAACGCUGGCGGCGUGCCUAAUACAUGCAAGUUGAGCGCUGAAGGUUGGUACUUGUACCAACUGGAUGAGCAGCGAACGGGUGAGUAACGCGUGGGGAAUCUGCCUUUGAGCGGGGGACAACAUUUGGAAACGAAUGCUAAUACCGCAUAAAAACUUUAAACACAAGUUUUAAGUUUGAAAGAUGCAAUUGCAUCACUCAAAGAUGAUCCCGCGUUGUAUUAGCUAGUUGGUGAGGUAAAGGCUCACCAAGGCGAUGAUACAUAGCCGACCUGAGAGGGUGAUCGGCCACAUUGGGACUGGGACACGGCCCAAACUCCUACGGGGGGCAGCAGUAGGGAAUCUUCGGCAAUGGACGAAAGUCUGGCCGAGCAACGCCGCGUGAGGGAAGGAGGUUUUCGGAUCGUAAAACUCUGUUGGUAGGGAAGAACGUUGGUGGGAGUGGAAAGCUCAUCAAGUGACGGUAACUACCCAGAAAGGGACGGCUAACUACGUG